rnacentral:rRNA from 1 species
UACAGAGGGUGCAAGCGUUGCUCGGAAUUAUUGGGCGUAAAGGGUAGGUAGGUGGUCUCAUUUGUCAGGGGUGAAAGCCCUGGGCUUAACCCAGGAAGUGCCCUUGAAACGGUGGGACUAGAGUACUGGAGAGGGUCGUGGAAUUCCCGGUGUAGCGGUGAAAUGCGUAGAGAUCGGGAGGAACAUCUGAGGCGAAGGCGGCGACCUGGACAGUAACUGACACUCAACUACGAAAGCGUGGGGAUCAAAC